GCCUUCGUGAUGUAGUGGUCAGCACGCUAGGCACGUAUUCCAGAGAUCCGUGGUUCGAUUCCCGGGGAAGGCG
rfam:Stegodyphus mimosarum contig25762, whole genome shotgun sequence.